CAGAGCCUUGACAGUUGUACGGUCAAGGGAGAGAUGGCAGGCUUAAGAGCCAUAGGCGAUUGUUCUGAGUCGGAGUUCAAGACCUGGGCAGGUCCCAGAAUAGAGAGUCAAGCCGUUGGCAAGCAGAUGGAAGGGCAUAGAGAGUGGUUCCCAAACUGAGUUCUGUAAAGCACUUAGUAUCCAUAUCAUAGGUAUUUUGCCAUGAAAAAGAGCCAGUGGUGGGGAGAGAGAAUGUUCUAUGAUAUUCAAGUCUAGGAAACCCUCUGUCAAAAAAAAUUCAAGAAAGUUAACUGUAGCCCAAGGUGGCUCUUCGCCAGCAGGGGUUAUGGAAGAGAAAUGUAAUAAGUUAUGAAAGCAAAAAUGUGGGUUGAUUUAGGCCCUGACAGGCCUUGAAGGGCGGGGUGAGAAGUUAGGUUUUGAUGGAGUGUUGUGGAGGAUAGUGGGCGGGAGAUGUGAUGCCAUCAGAGCUGGGGUUAGGAAAUGUAAAACUUGUUACCUCUAGGCAUGAUUAAGCCCUGGAAGAGCACGAAGGGGCACUCGUAUAUUCUUCUGGGGCCCUCACAAGCAGGCGACCUUCUGCCCUCGACCAUCAUCAAGCACACGACACUCCAUGACCUCUCUGCUCUAAGAGGAAACUGAGGCACAGUGAGGUUAAGAGAGCAAGGAGCUGCUUUCACCACGUUAUGUUCAGCUAAGAUGGUGAACAACAGCUUGACCUGGAGCUGGGCUGC